ACCCUCAACUGUGGGGAGAAGAUGUGCAUCUUUUUAAACCAGACAGAUUCGCGGAAGGGAUUGCCAAAGCUACCAAUUACAACGCGGCUGCAUUUUUACCCUUUGGAUUGGGACCUCGAACUUGUGUUGGUAUGACCUUUGCAACCACAGAAACCAAGAUUGUUCUCUCCAUGAUCCUACAACGCUACGCUAUUACACUUUCCCCUGCCUAUGUCCACUCACCAAUACCUAUAAUCAGCCUUAAACCACAACAUGGAAUUCAAGUAAUACUCAAGUCGCUGCAUAUCGAUGCUUGAUGUUUCAUCUUUGUUGUCAUCAACAACAUGAAAAAUAUGGGUUUGAAUGCAUUUAACACGUAUUAUCCUUUAUUUUUAAGAAUUUAGAAUUAUGAAUACUUUACGCAUUAUAUAAAAAAAUCUACACAACCAUUAGAAAUUUAGAGUUUAAUAAAAAAUUUCUAUUUCAUAAGUCUAUUAUCUCUUCUUUUACAACCACUUUCUCCUUUUCUCUAAUAAAUAUAAUAAACUUUAAUUAUUUGUUACUUUCAUAAAUUUCUAAUAAAUUGAAAUUUUAUUAUAUAUAAAUCUAAUUUAACAUUCUUAAUAAUUUUUUUUAUUCUCACUUUAUUAUUAUUACUGCAAUUAAACACGUAUUUCACUAUUGAUUUUAAUCUCUUUUUUCUAUAAUUUAUCUCAAUUUUGUCCUUCUUAAUCAUUUACACACCAUGGGCCGACUCACACUUCUCCCUCAAAACAUUUAAGAACUAAGCAGUAAAAAGUAUAUUUAAUAACACCAUUGAAUAAUAACAAAAAAAAGUGCACUUUUUUAGUUGGAUGUAGUGUUUAACACCGCUAGUCAUAGCUGAGAUACUUGAUAGAGCGAAGUUGGCCGGACCGAGUUGGGUCCAACAAAAAUUCUAAAUCUAAACUCGGUUCGAAAAAUAAUUAAAAUAUUAUAUAAGUCUAAUUUAAAUAAAAAUGUUAAAAUUUAAGUUCGGUCUAAUCUGUUUGUAUUAUUUUUAAAUAUAUUUUUAAAACAUAAUACAUUUAAAAUAUUAAAAACAUUAAAAUAAAUAUUUUCAAUAAAUUGAAAAUAAAUUUUAAAAAAUUGUGUAUACUUAAAUAACAAUAAGAUAGGUGCAACUUAAUAAGGAAUUAUGAAAUACUCUAAAAUAGUAAUAAAAUUGACAAUAAAUCAAGAGUUAUAAAUAUCCAAAUAAUAACAAAAAAAGUAGUAGUAAUAUAAUUAUGAAAUUGUAACAAAAUAGUAAAAAACAACCAAAAAAUAGCAAGAAAACAGUAAAAAAAAAUAGAAGUUUCUUUUUUACAUAUUAGGGCCGGGCUCUGGCCAAAAAAGUCUUACCCGAAGCCUAGUCCGUUUUCUAAACACUUAUUUUUUUACUCAAACUCAUUUUUUGAGUUUAUAUUUUUAUUCAAAUCCUAUAACUUAAAUUUACCUUCAAGCCCAACUGACAUUGGAAGACUUGGUAGAUGAGUGCAAAACAUUCUACUUUGCUGGACAAGAUACUGUUAAUUCCUUACUUGCUUGGAUGGUCUUACUUUUAGCAAGUCAUGGAGAUUGGCAAGAGAAAGCAAGAAGAGAGGUGAUUGAGAUAUAUGGUAACCAAUAUGUUGAAAAAUGGCCAACCAUGCUGCUUAUGUUUUUGUUAAAGUACAUGCUACUAUGAUGAUUUUGUUGAGUGCAUACAGCUUGUAUGCAUGCUGUAGCAAUUAUGCAUGUUGCAGCAACAUAUUUUCUGUUUUAGUUGCAAUGUAAUUUAGUUUGGUUGAAAAUGAACUUUGAUGUUAAUGUUUUGAUGGGAUGACUGAGUUGAUAAAUCAGCUUAUCCAUGUGUACAAACAAUGUUUUAAUAAUCCCAAUCUUGAUUAGUGGGGUUAGUUGAAUAUUUGAUGAUGUAUUUUGACUAUAAAUGUAUUGUUUUCAUAAUGAAUGAGCAAGCAUAUUAGUUGUGUAAAGCAAAUUGCUUGCUUGCUGCACGUUUGUGAGCAAAUAAAUUAUUCUUUGUUUUUCCUCCUUUGUUCUCGGUAUUGUUCUCUUCUUUUACCGCUAUCAAAAACCCAACACAAUAUCCAAAUUCUGAAGGCUUUUCUAAACUCAAAAUUGUAAGUAAACUGUCAAACCCUUUCAAUACAUUGUGUAUACCAGGCAUUUAAAUCAGAGUCAUAAAGGCUUUUAGUACAUAAAAAAUCCUGUCUAUACUUCCAGUACAUUAAAUUCUUUAAUCUACUCUGACACAUUCCUAUUCUGCAAACAGAUGACCAUGAUUAUUAAUGAACCUCUAAGAUUGUAUGGUCCAGCAGUUGGCCUAUUGAGGAAAGGUGGAAGUGAAGUUCGGUUAGGAAAUCUAGUCUUGCCUGCUGAUAUAGAUAUUCUUAUUGCAAAUGCUGCACUUCACCAUGACCCUCAACUAUGGGGAGAUAAUGUGCAUCUUUUUAAGCCAGAGAGAUUCGCCGAAGGGAUUGCCAAAGCUACCAAUUACAACACAACAGCAUUUUGUCCCUUUGGAUUGGGACCUCGGACUUGUGUUGGUACAACCUUCGCAAUCAUGGAAGUGAAGAUUGCAGUCUCCAUGAUUCUACAACGCUACACCAUUUCCCUCUCCCCUGCCUAUGUCCACGCGCCAGUAUCUAUAAUCACCGUUAAACCACAACAUGGAAUUCAAGUAAUACUCCAGUCACUGCAUCAUGAUGCUUAAACCAUACGGCAGGUAAGGGCUCAGCGUUCAACUCAGUUUGGUCAUGUAUUCACCUUUUAAGAGAUGACAUUUCAUAGCUCAGGGGCUUUUGCAUUAGCAACCAAUUCCCUAUUCUGAAGUUAUGCGCUCCUUCAUGCAUAAAAAACUGAUGGUAAAGCGUGCAAUAAAUGAAAAUCAAAUACAAUUUAUCACUUUAAUAGUUUAUAUCCUCAUAAUUUUUAAAGGAUUAAAUCAAAUUUUUAUUAUUUUUUAAUAUUCAAGUUGGAGUUCUAUUCAUAUUUUAAAUGAGAUUAAUUUUUUUACCCAAACUCAAUUUUUGAGCUUAAUAUUUUUGCUCAAAAUAUAAAUAGAUGAUAAUUAUUUAAUUUAUGAGUAAAUAUAUAUUAAAAAUGUAUUAAUAAAAAAAGUAACUAAUAAAAAUCUACUUAAUCUUUCAAAAAGGCCACUCAAAAUCAACUAUUUGACCAAUAUACUCAUCAUUCUGUUCUUUAAUUUAAUCAUUUUAUUUUUUAUAAAUUUUAUAUUUUAAAAUUUCAAUCUUAAUUCAAAUAAUAACUAGUAAAUUUAUUAACAAAAAUAACAUAAUUUCUUUUAAUAUUAUUUGAAGAUAAUAAGUUAAGGUCACAUUACCAAUAAUAUAUUUAUUGUAUAAAAUUUUAAAAAUUUAUAAUAAAAAAAAUUUUGUAACAGAUUUUAACUUAAUUGUAGUAAGAAAUUUCAAUGGUUGUAUUGUGAUUAUUGUUUUUGCAGCCAUUGUUGACUAAUUGCAUUUGUGAUGAUGCAUGGUAGAUGGCUCCCAAUAAAAUAUUCAUAAAUAUAAAAAAUCGAGUCUUAUUAAUAUAGUUUUAAUUGAUAAAUUAUGUGUAAAGCCGAAGUUGGUAAUAUGUCAACUCAUUUUAGGUAGCACAUGUUGAACAUUAUAUUAUCCUUCACAAAGAUAUAUUGCUUUAUUACGGAAAAAUACAAAUUUUAAAAUUUAAAGAAAUAGGUCACAUAUUAUAAAAAUAUGUUUGGUUGAAAACGGUAUUUCUUUUAAAUAAACAAAUUUUGGCGUUACGGAGACGUGAAAACACUUCCUGCAUUGUGCGCUUUCGCCACAUGUUCCCACUAUCCCAAAAAUUUAUUAUUUUUUUAGUUUUUUAUGUUCAUAUAAUCAAUAUGAUGAUUGGAUUAUCAAAACAUAUCUACACAAUUUAAUUGCAAGAGCAUCAAGUGUUGUUGAACAUCAGUUAUGAACAACAGUUAGAAGAGGUGAGGUUCUUGCACGUGUCCCGUAUACUCGGUGAGACUAAAUUGAAGCCCACACUUAUUAGUGCUUUGCUAGAAAGAUGGAGACCCAAGACACACACAUUUCAUAUUCUGUAUGAUGAUGAUAUGAUUACACUCGAGGAUGUGACAUUAGAACUUGGUCUUUUGGUUGGUGGGCCAAUAAUUUGGGGAAAUUUGAAUAAAAACAAUACCAAAUAUAUUUAGUAAUUUAGGGAAUUUUUAAUAACUUCACAUUCUUCAACAUAUAAAUAGUGGAUUUAUGUCAUGGGUUGCAGGUCAAAGCUCAUGAUGAAUGCACACAGAGCGUCUCAUGGAGGUUAACUAAUUAAAUGAGACUCAUUUGACCCACUUGAACUGGCCCGAUUCGUGAAACAUAUGGAAAAACUCAUCUACUUGAAGCCUGGUGACCUAAUGAAACACUCAAGUAACAUUGGAGACAUCAGGGUAAUUAUUGUAAAUACUAAAAGAUAAAGAUGUAUGUCGAAACCCUUUUUUAUUUUAAAAACAAUGGGGAUCGACUUUGAAAACAAAAAUGUGGAGUCGCCACCAAUCUUUUGAUUUAGGUGUGAUUGGGCCACCUACUAAAACACUUUAUUCAAUGAAAAAUUGGUACCAAAUUGAUUUGAUGUUGUUCUUAUACCAAAAGGUCUUAAAAAAAAGAUUUUUCAAAGAAUGAUUUUUUUAAAAUGCUUGAAUAGUUCAAAUUAGUAGUCAAAAAUCUCUCGUUUUAAAGACAUGCAGUAUCAUACCCAGCACGAUUGGAUAUAAUCCCUUAUACCUUUAAAAACGCGAUUAAUUUUCGAGUUUUGAAAACUCAUACAUUAAAAUUAUAAAAGGUUAUCCAAAUAUUUGGUUUACCAGAAAAGUCAUACCCAGUACGAUUAAGCAUGAUUUUCCGAAUUCCCCAAAUAUUAGAUAUUGCCUUAUUUCAGAAUUUUUGAAUGAUAAAGGAAAUUAGAAAUUUGCUCAAAAACACAUUUAUUUGUUUUAAAAUAGAUGAAAUACUUAAUGCAUCAAGACAUAUAUAUAUAUAAAAAAGGGGUUAAUGAAUUUGAAAUAAUAUACACAAAGUACAAUAAACCUCACUUAAUACAUCUAACAAUUAUAUACAAUCAUUUUAAUUAUAAUGUAACCAAAAAUUCUUUAAGCAUGGAUAGUGAGUAAUUAAUACAAAAAUAAUAUAUACGAUAAUUAACAUGACACAAAAUAAAAUGAUGCACAAAAAAUAUGUAUGAAACAAAGUGGAAUUGGAAAUCAAUAUAAGACAUUUUCAACAUAAUGAUGAAUUGAUGAUCACAUAAUAUAUAUAUAAGUUGAUAAAUUUGCAUAAAAACUUGGGAUACAUGUUUAUUGAAAUAGUUAUUAUAAAAUAAAAAGUUCAAAUCAAAUUAUAUAUAAAAUAUUUAAAACACAAAUUCAUUCAAAAAUUGAUAAUUCACAUGAUAACUUAAAUAAUGUAUUAAAUAUGAAGGGAUGACAAUACAUGAUAUAAAAUAAUAUACAUAAUAAAUUUAUGAAACAUGUAUAUACAAGUAAAAUUGGGUAUAAUUAUUUGUAAAAAAAUAAAAUUUAUAAUGUAUGAAAGAAACAAAGUAAAUAUAUAAGUUAUAUACGUAACAGAAAUUUCUAAAAAAAACAAGGUCAUAUACAAAAGGCAAAAUUAUAUUUACACAUAAAUUUAGUGAUAUAUAUUUAUAAGAUUAUAUUUAUAAAGGGAAUUUGGAAACAAAUAAUAUAUAAUUUUACAUGUAACAAAUUGGUUUGGAUUGAUGGCACAUUUAAAUAAUACAUAUAUUAGGAUAAUAAAAUAAUGUAUACAAUAUAUAAAUCGUAUGAUUUAAAAUAUGGUCCUUAAAAAAAUAUAUAUUAUACACAUAAACAACUUUAAGGGCAAUAUAUAUAUAUAUAUAUAAAAAUAUUUACAUAAAGCUAUAUGAAAUUAAUAACACGUAUUAUAGUAAAAACAAUUUUAAUAUGUGUUAUAUACACGUAAAGACAUUUUUUAAAAUAAUUGAAUAUUAAAAUAAUAUAGAAUAAAAAAUAUGAAUUAUAAAAUUAACUUGAAAUUAGCAUAAAUUAUAUAUAUAAUAAAUAAUAUAAAAACGCAAUUAUAUACAAAUUUAUUAAAAACUAUUUGUAUAAGAAUAUCAUAGCUUUAAUAAUGGAUGUAAAUUAAAGAUAAGUACUAAACAUGUGCUUGAUGAUAACUUAAAGAAUACAUUGAAUAUGAAGAAAUAAUAAUGCAUGGCAAGGUAUAGUACACAUAAAAUAAACGAAUAUAAAUAUUAAAAAUAUGUAAAUAAAUUUAAAAGAAAUUACAAAACGACAUAAAAUUACUAGCAUGCACAAACCAAAAUGAAUUAAAUUACAAAUAAAACAUUGAUUAUUAAAAUUGGAAUAAAAGAGAAAAUAUUACAAACUUCAACUACAGAAAACAACACAAAAUAUCACAACUAAUAAUUAAGCAUGUAAAAAAAAUGUAUGUGCAGUAAAUAAAGAAGAUAAGAUUUAAUUGAAACAAAAUUAAAACAGGAAAAGCAAUUUACAAAUAAGAUAAUUAUAAAAUGGGAUCAAUAUGCCACACGCGCAAGUGUGCUGGGAUUCGAAUUGAAAAUAUCCUGCGCCCACAAUACUUUACUAGACUGUGGAUCAAAAUGAAAAAACACACAAAUUAGAAAGCUAAAUUUUAAAAAAACGAGUAAGCGAAUUGGGUGCUAAUUGAAAGGUUCGCGAAAAGGGAAGGAUUUGUUGCAUAAAUAGACCAUUUUAGGCUCAAAAGGCCCCCCCAUCCUUCUUACACGGUGCCGUUUUGCUUAAUAUGUUAUUAAAAACCUUUCUUCUCCCAUUUUCUUCUCCAACGCAGCCACCCACUUAUACCAAAAGAAAUUUCAGCCCUAAAAACAAUCCUUUACUGAACUGCCGAACCACCAUGAUUUUGGUGAUCACCAGUAAGCAAGCAACGCCCAAUCUUGCUGUUAAAGAUGUAACAGCCCGAUUUUGGGCCUAGUCGGAACAGUGGUUUCGGGACCACUAUUCUGACGCCAGAGAAAAUUAUUUUAGUAUUAUUUUAUGUGUUAUAAUAUGAUUUUAUAAGUGCAUGUUAAUUUUGGUAUAUUAAUUUUAGCGAUUUCUAGUCCAAUUUCGAAAAAGGACUAAAUCGCGUAAAAAGUAAAAAUUGUGUUUUAAUACCUAAAGGUGUUAAAUUGCCUUGUAUCUUAAAUUGGGGGUCUUUAAAGUGAAAUUAGGCCAUUGAAAGUGUGAUGGCCGGCCAUGGGAGACAAAAUAGUUGAAAAGUCAAAAUUGAACAAAAUAGUUUUAUUAUUAACAAAUAAUAAAAAAAAGAAAAAGAAAAAGCUAUCAUUUUUCUCUUCCCCUUCACAAAAAUAUGCAGCACAGAAAGGGUUUUGAAGUUGGAAAAUUUCAGCAACAUAUUUCCCUUGCUUGUAAGUGAUUUUAAUGUCUUUGCUUGAUGAUUUUUGUAUUUUUGGAACCCCUAAAGCAUAAGCUUUCAUAAGAGGGGAUUAUUUUGCAAAAUGAUGAAGAGUCUAGGGUUUUACCAUGAGAGUAAAUGUGUUGUUUGCUGUGUUUUUAUGGAAGAUUAUGAGUUCUAGUUGUCUAAUAAACAACUUUUGUGAAAGAAAUUGCAUGAAAAUACCUUAAAAAGGGGUAAAUUGCUAAGUUGUAAAAUGAGUUGUAAAUGUGUAAAAUAGUUGAAAUUAUGAGUUGUUAUAGUUAUGAAAAUGGUUCAUCUAGACUCAAGGAGUAAAGAAAUGUGAUAAAAAUUAAUUUACGAGCAUUGGGGCAAAAGUGCAAAUAUGUAAAAGUUUAGGGGUCAAAAUAAAAAUUUGUAAAAAUAUGAUUUUUAGACCCAUAUGAAUAUUGUGACUGAUUGGUAGGCUAAAUGUGAUGUUAUAGAUGAUGAAAAUUGAGAUUUGGACCUAGAACGGAAAGAAAUCGAUUUAUGGACGAGUAUGUCUUUUCACCGUUGUGGUAUCGAGGUAAGUUCAUGUGUAAAUAAUGUAGCAUAAUUGUUAUUUUUAAGUUAUUGAUGUUAAAUAUAUGAUAUGCUGAUUUUUAUCAUGAAAUAUAUGCUUUGUGGUUAUUUUCGAAUAAAAUGCAAGUUAUGUGUAUUAUCUGUUAAAUAUAAAGUGCUACCGAGUAUUGGUUUCGGUAUUUUACGGAAGAUGGCAAGGAUAUGUGUUCGAGGAAAAUCCCGUUUGAACCUUAGGAAUAGAUUAGGAUACAAGUGACAUGUCACUAGGAUGGUUGAGCAUCCAAACUCGUUGAGUUGAGUCCGAGUUCACUUAUGGAUGCGAAUGUUCGAACUCGUUGAGUUGAGUCUGAGUUCGUGAGAUGUAACUAGGCAUCCGAGCUCGUUGAGUUGAGUCCGAGUUCACUUAUGGAUGCGAACGCCCGAGCUCGUUGAGUUGAGUCCGAGUUCACUUAUGGGCGGGUUACAUGGUAGCUUGGCUACAUAUGUGGCACUUAUGUGCAAACUUUUCAUGUAUCCGAAUUAUAUUCCGAUGUGUUCAAUGGGUAAAAUUCUACUCAAAUGGAAGAAUACUCGAGAUGAAAGGGACGUAUUGGUAAAUGUUGUGAAAUGGAUACUUUGAACAGGUAUGUACUUAACCCUCGUGUUGAAAACUCGACAUAACAACAAUAUGGUAAGAUGGUAAAUGAAAAUGUGAUAUGAAUGUCUCGGUGAUGAUUAUACAAACGAUGUUGUAUUAAUUUUGUGAACAAUGAUCAUGAAUGAGUAAUUUAGCCUUGACAGAUUUGAGUUACUGCAGUAGUGUAACUUUGAAAAUACACUAAAAAUAGUGGAAAAUAAGUUAGAGGCAGAAUAAAAUAUGGGAUUAAAGCUCAACGAGUCUAUUUUCACAUGAAAGAAACAGAGAAGAAAAAGAAUUCCAUAUUGUGUGAUAUUUGAAUUCUUGUGAAACAGGGUCUGAAUGAAUUCGAGAUCCCCUAUUCUAACUUUAUAAAUUCACCAAAAAUUUUACAAAAAUUUUUAAGAGUUAUACCUUACAUGCAUAUAUUCAUUAUUGAGUCUAUUUUUAUGGAAAAUAAACGGCAUGGUCGUUGGAAUUUUGUACAGGGAGAAAUUCGGUUUGUAGUGCACAGGGGUCAGAGUGGUCAUACCCUGAAAUAGGGGAGACUUUAACUAAUAAACUGUACUAUUUGGCUUAACCAAAAAUUCUGGAAAUUUUAUGGAAGAAAUUAAAAUAAGUCUAUUUUUAGGGAAAAUUAACGGAACUUAAUUCGGAGUUUAGUAGCUCCAGAUAUAAAUAAUUUAGUGACUGUUGCUCAGGAAGACAACUUGUAGUGAACUUGAGAAUAUGUUGUAAACAUUGAUAAAACAAGUUAAUGAGUUGCUUAUUGUUUUCAUAUGAACUUACUAAGCGAAAGCUUACCCCCCUUCUUUCCCAUGGUUUUUAGAGUUUCCAGGUUAGCUCGGGUUGGAGGCCGUCAGAGAUAUUAUCACCCUAUCGAGUUAACGUUAUCGGAGUAAGUAAAAUCAAGUGAUUCGAGUCUAUGGCAUGUAUAGGGUUUUAAUGUGAGUAUGUAAUAUUAUGAUCUAGCCAAAGGCAUUGGCUUGUUAUUAAGGUAGUGUUAGUUAUGUAAAUUGGCCUAUGUCGGCUAAUAUCGUUAUGGGCCCAUAUGAUUAUUCUUAUGCAUUUAUGUUAUUAUUUCUUGUGAUGUGGCUUACAACAUGUAUGCCUAGAGAUUGAAUUGAGAUUCAUCGAUGAGCUAGUAACUAAUGCAGGAUUAAGUGAUUGGUAAAUAGUUAAUAAUGCUUCAUGAAUGGUUUGUGAUGUAAUGAUAGUUAUGUCUAGUAUGUGGUAAUGAUAUGGGCAAAUUCUAUAAUAUUUAUUGCAUAAGAAAAUAACUUGAGCAUAACAUGUUUGUAGAUGUUUAAGAGCUCAUUUAUGUCACGUUGUAUGUUAUUGGAUAAGUAUGUAUCUAUGCAUAUGGUGUGAGAGUGAUAAAAGGCUUAAUAAUUAGCCUAUUUCUGGCCACACGGCCUGAGCACAUGGGCGUGUGAAGCCUUAACGCAAGAAAUUUUUUUAAGUUUUUCAUGAGUUCUCGAUUGGGUCCCGAACCACUCCAGAUGUAUGUUUUGGGCCUCGUAAGCCCGUAUAUGGGACAGAUUGUAUGUGAAAAGAAAAGUUUUUAACUAUUUGAUAUUUCAUGGCCCUGUUUAGUAUGAAAGUGUUAGUAAAAGUCAGGUAGCACCUCGAACCCCGUCCCGGCGUCGGAUGCAGGCGAGGGGUGUUACAUUUAGUGGUAUCAGAGCAUGGUUUAGUCGAUUCUCGGGCUAACCUAGCGUAAGAGAGUCUAGCUAUACAUGUCAUAGUAUUACUCGUGAUAGUGUGAUAUCUCUCGGCCCUAACAAAACUGUUGAUUAAGACAGGAAUGAGUUUCAACCGAGCAAAUCUUGAUAGAGAUAAGAGUAAAGUUGAGAUUAUUGAAUCAUGCUUAUGAUAUGCUGAAAAUUGGGAAAGGUAUGAAAAGAAAUCCAUGAUUUUUUUUAUAUGAACUAGUUUUCAUUAUGUGAUACUCUUGAGAUAAAGAGUGUGAAAUAGUGGAGUAAAACACAGUUAAGUUGUGAAAAAACGCUUUUAUGCAUGUUAGUAUUCAUACGAUGUUAAAUGUUCAACUUGAUUUGGCCAAGUGUUUAGGAAAAGAAAGAAAUUUGCUUGAAAUGACAGAAUGUAUGUAUGAAUGCUUUUAUUGCAUGAUUAAUAAUCAAUAUAUACAUGAGGUUGACAUUUAUGUCUAGAUUGAUGAAGUCAAGAUGCAGUAAUGUUAUGCUUUAUAAUCUCAGUUACAGAAUCAUAAAUGUCACAAUAGCAUGAAAGUUGUAAUGAAAGAUCAAAUUGGGUAGAACGCAGGGAAUGAGUACGAUCGUUCACUAAUGAAUUGAUGGAAAAGACCAUGGUUGGACCAUGGCAAUACAUGAGAUUUGUGUGCCAGUGUAAGACCAUGUAUGGGACAUGGCAUCGGCAUUGAGACGAGGGCUAGUGUAAGACAUGUCUGGGACAUGCAUCAGCCACAGUAUGAGAGCCAGAGUAAGACAUGUCUGGGACAUGCAUCGGCCUUGAGAUGUUAGCCAAUGUCAGACAUGUCUGGGACAUGCGUCGGCUACGAGAUGUGCUAAUGUAAGACAUGUCUGGGACAUGCGUCAGCACGGUUACAUGUGUCAGUGUAAGACCUGUCUGGGACACGGUAUCGAUACAGAUAGAUGAGAGCUAGUACAAGACCAUAGUUGAACUAUGGCAUCAAGUAAACGAUGUACUCAAAACCAUAAGACGUUCUCCAAUUUGAUAAAUAUUGGCAAGUGAUUAAGACUAAAUAUGGGAAUUUGAUAAAACAUUAAGGGUAAUUUGAAAAAAUGAAAUGAAAGUUUGAGUUAUGAUAAAUUCAUUUAUGUUUAGCUAAUAUUCGCACGAAAUAAAGUUGCAUGUAUUACUGAGAUAUGUGAAAAUGUGUUCAUAACAAGUUGGAAAUUUGAAAUGUUUGAAUCAAUAUGCGUAAAGCUAUAUUGUUGUUGAAUAUGUAUUUGCUUGAGAGUCAAAAGUUUAGAGGCUUUACAAUCUUCGCCCCCUUACCAGAAUAGAGUUAUAUGAUGAGAUUCUCGAGAGAUAUGUUGCAUAAGCUUGCAAAAGUUAAACUAAAAAGUAUAAUAAUGGAAUAGUAUGGGAUUAGUGAAGACAGAAUUAGUUAGAGGAAUAAUGUCGGACUUGCACUGAUGUUUGAGUAUGUCGGAUUCAAUCAAAUAAAAGUGAUGGCUAUCUUUCUCUUCUGAGUAUUCUAUGUUUUCCUCAAUUCUGGGGAAUACGUAUGGUUAUCCCUUUCGAAUGGAAAUUCUAUCAUACGAGGAUGCUAGUGACUGUGAUAUUAGAUGAAAAGCUCUAUUGGUCCAGUUAGUUAUAAUUGACAUUUUCCCCAUCUCUUCAGAUUUCUAUUCUGAUAUAUUGGAAUGAAGUUGAUAGUAAAAAAAAAAAUCUAUGUGAGAUUAUUCUGAUGUUCUAUUGAUUAUGGUUUAUAUAUGCGAGAAUUAUAUUAUCUCUAUUAUGAGAAAUUCUAAAGCGUACAGACAGUAGUUUCCUUCUGGUUUUCUCUAAGGGAUUUUUCGGAUCAUAUUUAUUAUUUUCUUCUGGAUUAUAUUCUCGGAUUUCUGGUGUAGUCUUUGUAUCUUGGAAUUUCUUAUAUUGGCUUUUCUCUCGUUCUUGUUUCGAGAAUUAUCAAGCUUGGCUUAUCUUUACGAGUAAUCUUUGACUUGCGAUAUUAGAAUCUGUUAUGAUUAAGCUUUUGGCUCGACCAUAGAAGUGUGGGGAUUUCAGUGUCGAGAUUUCUUUAAAACUUCUGGGGUAAAGAAUGGUUAUUCUGCAAAGGUAAAUCUGAGUUAUGUGCAUUUAAGUUUAUUCUCUGGUUCGAGAAUACCGUUACGUGUUCUUUGGUAAGUAGUCGUACAGUCAGAAAUGAUGGGGUUUUAUUCUUGAAAGUAUGUUAUGGAAACAUAUUAGUUGGAUUUCUCUUGUUCGAGAGAUGUUAUAAGUAUAGUUAUCCUGAUUAAUAAAAAGACCACAUCUAUGAAGUUGGAAUCAUUUGAUUCAUGUUAGUAAAGUUUCUAAACAGUUGAUGAUCAGAGUAUAGAAAUGUGGCUAUAAGUGGUAAAUUAAACAAGUACAACAUGAUUCGACUUUUAAUUUGGAAUUGCAGGGAGGAUUUGAUUUCUGGUUUCUAUUACUAUUAAUUCAGAGUAAGAUUUCAGUACUGAGAAACUCUGGGUAUACAGAGAAUUGAGUAUAGAGUUCACAGCAGUAUCUUGUUUCUUUGUUCAAAGGAUGUCGAAUUGUCUAUAGGGUAAAGCCGAAUAUCAAAUGUAUUCGAGAUUAUUAUUGUCAGUGAUGACAGUGGGAAGAAAAUGAGAAAGGACUGUUAUGAAUUUCGUAUCGGGAUGUCUCUCAUUUCCAGGAAAAAGGAGAGAUGCAAGUUGAAUUGUGAAAGAUUGAUGAUGGAAGUCUGCAUGAUUAUUUUAGUAUGUACAGAUAUAUUAUUCAACAGAUGUGACUGAGUUGUAUGUUUCUGAGUUUAUAGUUCCAAGAAUGUCAGUCUCCAGUGAUUCAAAUUGAGCUCCGAAGUUUAUACCUCAUCUAUGGAAAAGCUAUAGGAAAUCUUGAGUAUGAGCUUGUGCAGAGUUGUUUUGUAAGUUGUGAGAAAACGAUAUAAGUGACUCAUGAAAGUAGAGAACAACUUUUUCUGGUAAGAUUUUCGAGGACGAAAAUCCUUAAAGGGGGAAAAAAUGUAACAGCCCGAUUUUGGGCCUAGUCGGAACAGUGGUUUUGGGACCACUAUUCCGAGGCCAGAGAAAGUUAUUUUAGUAUUAUUUUAUGUGUUAUAAUAUGAUUUUAUAAGUGCAUGUUAAUUUUGGUAUAUUAAUUUUAGCGAUUUCUAGUCCAAUUUCAAAAAAGGACUAAAUCGCGUAAAAAGUAAAAGUUGUGUUUUAAUACCUAAAGGUGUUAAAUUGCCUUGUAUCUUAAAUUGGGGGUCUUUAAAGUGAAAUUAAGCCAUUGAAAGUGUGAUGGCCGGCCAUGGGAGACAAAAUAGUUGAAAAGUCAAAAUUGAACAAAAUAGUUUUAUUAUUAACAAAUAAAAAAAGAAAAAGAAAAAGCUAUCAUUUUUCUCUUCCCCUUCACCAAAAUAUGCAGCAAAGAAAGGGUUUUGAAGCUGGAAAAUUUCAACAACAUAUUUCCCUUGCUUGUAAGUGAUUUUAAUGUCUUUGCUUGAUGAUUUUUGUAUUUUUGGAACCCCUAAAGCAUAAGCUUUCAUAAGAGGGGAUUAUUUUGCAAAAUGAUAAAGAGUCUAGGGUUUUACCAUGAGAGUAAAUGUGUUGUUUUCUGUGUUUUUAUGGAAGAUUAUGAGUCCUAGUUGUCUAAUAAACAACUUUUGUGAAAGAAAUUGCAUGAAAAUACCUUAAAAAGGGGUAAAUUGCUAAGUUGUAAAAUGAGUUGUAAAUGUGUAAAAUAGUUGAAAUUAUGAGUUGCUAUAGUUAUGAAAAUGGUUCAUCUAGACUCAAGGAGUAAAGAAAUGUGAUAAAAAUUAAUUUACGAGCAUUGGGGCAAAAGUGCAAAUAUGCAAAAGUUUAGGGGUCAAAAUGAAAAUUUGUAAAAAUAUGAUUUUUAGACCCAUAUGAAUAUUGUGACUGAUUGGUAGGCUAAACGUGAUGUUAUAGAUGAUGAAAAUUGAGAUUUGGACCUAGAAUGGAAAGAAAUCGAUUUAUGGACGAGUAUGUCUUUUCACCUUUGUGGUAUCGAGGUAAGUUCAUGUGUAAAUAAUGUAGCAUAAUUUUUAUUUUUAAGUUAUUGAUGUUAAAUAUAUGAUAUGCUGAUUUUUAUCAUGAAAUAUAUGCUUUGUGGUUAUUUUCGAAUAAAAUGCAAGUUAUGUGUAUUAUCUGUUAAAUAUAAAGUGCUACCGAGUAUUGGUUUCGGUAUUUUACGGAAGAUGGCAAGGAUAUGUGUUCAAGGAAAAUCCCGUUUGAACCUUAGGAAUAGAUUAGGAUACAAGUGACAUGUCACUAGGAUGGUUGAGCAUCCGAACUCGUUGAGUUGAGUCCGAGUUCACUUAUAGAUGCGAAUGUUCGAACUCGUUGAGUUGAGUCUGAGUUCGUGAGAUGUAACUAGGCAUCUGAGCUCGUUGAGUUGAGUCCGAGUUCACUUAUGGAUGCGAACGCUCGAGCUCGUUGAGUUGAGUCCGAGUUCACUUAUGGGCGGGUUACAUGGUAGCUUGGCUACAUAUGUGGCACUUACGUGCAAACUUUCCAUGUAUCCGAAUUAUAUUCCGAUGUGUUCAACGGGUAAAAUUCUACUCAAAUGGAGGAAUACUCGAGAUGAAAGGGACGUAUUGGUAAAUGUUGUGAAAUGGAUACUUUGAACAGGUAUGUACUUAACCCUCGUGUUGAAAACUCGACAUAACAACAAUAUGGUAAGAUGGUAAAUGAAAAUGUGAUAUGAAUAUCUCGGUGAUGAUUAUACAAACGAUGUUGUAUUAAUUUUGUGAACAAUGAUCAUGAAUGAGUAAUUUAGCCUUGACAGAUUUGAAUUACUGCAGUAGUGUAACUUUGAAAAUACACUAAAAAUAGUGGAAAAUGAGUUAGAGGCAGAAUAAAAUAUGGGAUUAAAGCUCAAUGAGUCUAUUUUCACAUGAAAGAAACAGGGAAGAAAAAUAAUUCCAUAUUGUGUGAUAUUUGAAUUCUUGUGAAACAGGGUCUGAAUGAAUUCGAGAUCCCCUAUUCUAACUUUAUAAAUUCACCAAAAAUUGUACAAAAAUUAUUAAGAGUUAUACCUUACAUGCAUAGAUUCCUUAUUGAGUCUAUUUUUAUGGAAAAUAAACGGCAUGGUCGUUGGAAUUUUGUACAGGGAGAAAUUCAGUUUGUAGUGCACAGGGGUCAGAGUGGUCAUACCCUGAAACAGGGGAGACUUUAACUAAUAAACUGUACUAUUUGGCUUAACCAAAAAUUCUGGAAAUUUUAUGAAAGAAAGUAAAAUAAGUCUAGUUUCAGGGAAAAUUAACGGAACUUAAUUCGGAGUUUCGUAGCUCCAGAUAUAAAUAAUUUAGUGACUGUUGCUCAGGAAGACAACUUGUAGUGAACUUGAGAAUAUGUUGUAAACAUUGAUAAAACAAGUUAAUGAGUUGCUUAUUGUUUUCAUAUGAACUUACUAAGCGAAAGCUUACCCCCCUUCUUUCCCAUGGUUUUUAGAGUUUCCAAGUUAGCUCGGGUUGGAGGCUGUCAGAGAUAUUAUCACCCUAUCAAGUUAACGUUAUCGGAGUAAGUAAACUCAAGUGAUUCGAGUCUAUGGCAUGUAUAGGGUUUUAAUGUGAGUAUGUAAUAUUAUGAUCUAGCCAAAGGCAUUGGCUUGUUAUUAAGGUAGUAUUAGUUAUGUAAAUUGGCCUAUGUCGGCUAAUAUCGUUAUGGGCCCAUAUGAUUAUUCUUAUGCAUUUAUGUUAUUAUUUCUUGUGAUGUGGCUUACAACAUGUAUGCCUAGAGAUUGAAUUGAGAUUCAUUGAUGAGCUAGUAACUAAUGCAGGAUUAAGUGAUUGGUAAAUAGUUAAUAAUGCUUCAUGAAUGGUUUGUGAUGUAAUGAUAGUUAUGUCUAGUAUGUGGUAAUGAUAUGGGCAAAUUCUAUAAUAUUUAUUGCAUAAGAAAAUAACUUGAGCAUAACAUGUUUGUAGAUGUUUAAGAGCUCAUUUAUGUCACGUUGUAUGUUAUUGGAUAAGUAUGUAUCUAUGCAUAUGGUGUGAGAGUGAUAAAAGGCUUAAUAAUUAGCCUAUUUCUGGCCACACGGCCUGAGCACAUGGGCGUAUGAAGCCUUAACGCAAGAGAUUUUUUUAAGUUUUUCAUGAGUUCUCGAUUGGGUCCCGAACCACUCCAGAUGUAUGUUUUGGGCCUCGUAAGCCCGUAUAUGGGACAGAUUGUAUGUGAAAAGAAAAGUUUUUAACUAUUUGAUAUUUCAUGGCCCUGUUUAGUAUGAAAGUGUUAGUAAAAGUCAGGUAGCACCUCGAACCCCGUCCCGGCGUCGGAUGCAGGCGAGGGGUGUUACAAAAGAAGCUCGACCAGAUCUAAAAGGACUUGGUAAGUACUUUUCCCCCUUUCUUCUUUAUUUGAAAAGCAACUCAAAUCUCAUGUUAUUUUCUUAAAAAAAACAAGAAGAAAUUCAUAAAAUACAAAGACUUUCAACAUUACUUGGCCUCUCGCCCUCACAUCCGCAUAGCAGGAGUAUUUGGGGCUCUCAUCGGCUUUCAAUCGCGUAAAGAAAAUGAGCAAACUAAGAAAAUCAAUUUAGAACAGUAAAAGAAAAGCAAAAAAAAGUGAAAUCACCUCUAUUAAUUUUCUAUUGCUUUUCUUCUAUUCUUUGUGAGUGUGCACAAAUACAGUAUGCAUAGAGUGUGCGUAAUCUCUUCGUGAAAAAUUUGCAGGUAAAAUUAUCGGCUUUUAUAGCCAAACUUACAGAGAAAAAAUAAAAAAUAAAAAUAUAUUUUAUUGGCUGUCAUCUGUUGUAUUCUGUUAGCUUCUUUCUCGUGUAUUCUUUAUAGGAUCAUCCGUACGGAGGAGCGGGGAGAGGCAUGCAUGAAAGAAGCCGUGUGAGGAAACCCUUCGUGAGACCCAACCUCCUGGCACUGUUCUGGCAUGUUCCAGAAGCUUCUGGUGCUUAGCUGCUGGAAUUCUUUUUGAAUUUGGGCUAUACGGGCUAGGGGUUUAUGAAUUUGGGUAUUUGGGCUGGUAUAAAUUCUUUAUCUGGGCCUAAAAAAUUUGUAAAAGGACAUUGGUAUUUGGAAUUUUAUUUGUGUGUUUUUUUAUUUUUGGUUUUUUAAUUUCUAUGUUUUUAUUCUAAUGGGCCCGGGCGAAAUGGGCCUAUUACAAUGUAUAAAGUGAAAAUCCCUAAGGACUCUCAUUUUGUAAAUAUACACUUCUCAGCCAUUUAUGUAAUUCAAUCUGUACCAUUGGAUUUGGGGGAGCUCAACUAUAAAUAGAGGUUUCCCCCCUCAUUUAUAAUCACUUCAUCCCUUGAAUUUCAUUCCAAAUAAGAGAAUACCUUUAAGAACUAUUAGCAACUACCCAUAUCUUUGAAAAGUGAAAGAUAUGAGUGUCAGAAAAUUUGGCACCGAAAAUCAAAACAUUUAAGGCACUGAAAUUUGGUUUGAAAUUUGGCAUGGGAUAAUUGCAAUUUUGGUCCCAAUUGUAUAGGGAUUUUUGCAAGUUGAUCCUUGAACCUCAACUAUAAAUAGGCCUAACCAUUUCUCAUUUUCUUCAUCCCAUAUUUGUUAUUCUCUACUUAAAGCAUUAUUCUCUCUCCCUAUUUGUAAAUUUCACUUGUAUUUUUGGAGUAAAAUAUAUUUGGUAGUGCCCGAGGACGUAGGCAAAAUUUUUCGAACCUCAUUAAAAUUCUGGUGUUCUUUAUUAUUUAUUUUUGAAUAUUUUGUGAGUGUGAUUGUAGUGAUUUAUUGUGCUAUUAAACUACGAUAGAGGGAUAUUCUGGCUAGGAAAGACCUGGUACUUAAGUGAUCCUCGUGAUCCACCUCUCUUUUCAGGGAAUUGAACUUAGUGUGAUUUUUUAGUACAAUAAUUUUACUCUUUUACACGCUUCCGCGCAACAAUUGGUAUUAGAGCUAGAUUUGUACUCGGGAAAUACGACCAUUUAGGACACUAUCCAUGUAUUCGGCACUGUUUACAUGUACAGUAGUUGGGAUCGAUGAGAAAAAAAAAUGGCAGAGGCAUCGUCAUCAGCAAGGACUACUGUGACCAAUGCAAAAUUUGAAUAGAGAAAUUUGAUGGUACCAAUAAUUUUGGUAUGUGGUAAUGUGAGAUCCUGGAUGUCUUAUGUCAACAGGAGCUGAAUAUAGCCCUUGAAGAAAAACCUGACAAGAUGGAUGACAAGGAAUGGGCCAAGAUUAAUAGACAGGCGUGUCGUACAAUCCGCCUAUGUUUGGCCAAAGAGCAGAAGUACUCUGUCAUGAGGGAGACAUCAGCGAAGAAGUUAUGGGAUACACUAGAAGAAAAGUUUCUAACGAAAAGUCUUGAAAAUAGGCUUUAUAUGAAAAAAACCUUUUUUGAUUCACGUAUGCUCCCGGUAUGUCGAUGAAUGACCAUUUGAACUCAUUCAAUAAAAUUUUAGCAGACUUGCUAAAUUUGGAUGAGAAAUUUGAAGAUAAAGACCAGGCAUUAUUGUUGUUGAAUUUCAUUCCUGAUGAAUAUGAUCAUCUGUUGAAUUUCAUUCCUGAUGAAUAUGAUCAUCUUACCACCACAUUGCUUCAUGGGAAGGACACGAUCACUUUUGAUGCAGUCUGUAGUGCGUUGUAUAGAUUUGAGACUCAAAAGAAAGAUAAAAGAAAUCACAGAGAUACAACUAUAGAAGUCUUAACAGUAAGAGGUCGUUUAUACAGCAGCAAAUCUGGUAGAAAGAGAAAGUCCAAAGGGAGACCCGCCAAAGAUGAAUGUGCCUUUUGUCGUGAGAAAGGGUAUUAGAAAAAGAAUUGUCCUAAGUUACAAAAGGGCAAGGCUAUUUCUAAUACAUGUGUAGCGGAGCAUGAUGAGGAGUCAAACUUUAGCUUGGUUGGCAUGGCACUGGCAUGUCAUACGGAUGAGUGGAUUUUGGAUUCAGGAUGUACUUACCAUAUGUGUCCUAAUAAGGACUGGUUUUCUAGUCCUAAAGAGCUAGAAGGUGGAGUUGUUCUUAUGGGUAAUGACAGUGCUUGUAAUACAAUGGGAGUGGGUACAAUCCAAUUGAAGAAUCACGACGGCUCAAUCCGAGUCUUGACAGAUGUUCGCUACGUACCUAGCUUGAAGAAAAAUCUUAUCUGAUUAGGGGCCCUAGAAUCUAAAUGGCUCAUAAUCACUUUGAGAGAUGGAUUGCUAAAGGUAGUAGUCGGGGAAUUAACGGUGAUGAAAGGCACAAAAAGAAAUAACUUGUAGUUUUUAAAUGAAAGUACAGUUAUUGGAUCAACAUCAACAGUUUCUGCGAAAGAUGCAGAUUUAGAGGUUACCAGGUUAUUGCAUAUGCGAUUGGGACAUGCUGGAGAAAAAGCUUUGCAGACUUUGACGAAGCAAGGCUUAUUGAAAGGUGUAAAUUCUUGCAAAUUGGAAUUCUGUGAACAUUGUGUUCUGGGCAAGCAGACAAGGGUAAAAUUUGGUCCAGUAAUUCACAAUACGAAAGGAAUUCUGGACUACGUUCACACUGAUGUAUAGGGAUCUACCAAAGUAGCUUCUUUGGGAGGUAUACACUAUUUUGUUACUUUUGUUGAUGAUUAUUCAAGAAAAUUAUGGGUGUAUCUAAUGAAAAGAAAAAGUGAAGUUUUGGAUGCAUUUCUAAAAUGGAAGAAGAUGGUGGAGACUCAGACUGGUCGAAAGGUCAAACGACUAUGAUCAGAUAAUGGUACUGAAUACAAAAAUGAUCCAUUUCUACGAGUAUGUCAAGAUGAGGGCAUUGUGCAACACUUUACUGUUCGGGAUACACCACAACAGAAUGGGGUGGCAGAACGCAUGAAUCAGACUAUACUGGAGAAAGUUCGAUGUAUGUUGUCCAAUGCUGGAUUAGGCAAGGAAUUUUGGGCUGAAGCAGUUACAUAUGCGUGCCAUCUAAUUAAUUGUUUGCCAUCAGCUGUAAUAAAUGGAAAAACUCCUAUAGAUAUGUGGACUGGUAAAUCUGCUACUGAUUAUGAUUCUUUACAUGUUUUUGGUUCCACUGCAUAUUAUCAUGUAAAAGAAUCUAAGUUAGACCCAAAAGUAAAGAAAGUAUUAUUCUUGGGUAUAACUGAUGGAGUAAAAGGAUAUCGUCUCUGGUGUCUUGAUACAAGGAAGAUUAUUUUCAGUAGAGAUGUGACUUUUGAUGAAUCAACCAUGUUAAAGUACAAGGAUUCAUAAAAGGAUGAUAAAACCAGCAGUACUUUGUAGCAGGUGGAGCUUGAAAAGGUUAAUGAUGAUCCAGCUAAUAUUGUAGGGACUAAUGAUGAAGAAGUUCCGACCCAAGAACCUUUACAGCAACAAGAUUCAAUUGCAUAUAGGAGGCCAAGAAGAGAGAUUCGUAAGCCUGCUCGCUUUGAUGAUAUAGUGGCCUAUGCACUUUCAAUUGCAGAUGAUGAUGUUCCGUCUACUUACACAGAAGCAAUAAGUAACACUAAGGUGUAAAGUGGAAGCAAGCCAUGAAUGAAGAAAUGCAGUCUCUUCAUAAAAAUAGGACCUGGGAGUUGGUGACACUGCCUAAGGGAAAGAAGACAAUUGGAUGCAAAUGGGUAUAUGCAAAGAAGGAAGGAUUUCCUAGUAAAAAUGAAAUUCAAUACAAGGCUAGAUUGGUAGCAAAAGGUUACGCUCAGAAAGAAGGAAUAGACUACAAUAAAGUGUUUUCUCCAGUUCUGAAGCAUUCGUUUAUUCGGAUUUUACUAGACUUGGUUGCACAAUAUGAUCUUGAACUAGUUCAGCUUGAUGUGAAGACCGCGUUUUUACACGGUGAUUUGGAAGAGGAAAUCUAUAUGACUCAGCCAAAUGGAUUCAAGGUUGCUGGUAAAGAAAAUUGGGUUUGAAAACUAACAAAGUCGCUUUAUGGACUGAAGCAAUCUCUGAGGCAGUGGUACAAGUGAUUUGAUCAGUUCAAGAAAGGGCAAAGGUACACAAGAAGUAAAUUUGAUCAUUGCGUCUAUUUUCAAAAGCUACAAGAAGAAAUUUUCAUAUACUUGCUCUUAUAUGUUGAUGAUAUGCAGAUAGCAUCUAAGAGCAAAGUUGAAAUUGAGAGAUUGAAGACUCAACUCAAUCUUGAGUUUGAGAUAAAAGAUUUAGUUAAAACUAAGAAGAUUCUUGGCAUGGAAAUAUGUAAAGAUAAAGCUCAUGGCAGAGUUAGAUUGUCUCAGAAGUAGUAUUUGAAGAAGGUAUUACAGUAGUUUGGCAUGAACGAGCAGACAAAACCUGUAAGUACCCCGUUGGCAUCUCAUUUCAAGCUUUCUGCACAACUAUCUCCUUCGACGAAUACGGAACGAGAAUACAUGUUGCAAGUUCCGUAUUCUAAUGCAGUAGGUAGCUUGAUGUAUGCAAUGGUAUAUACAAGACCGAACAUUUCACAGGUAGUUAGUAUAGUAAGCAGGUAUAUGCAUAAUCCUGGAAAAGGACAUUGGCAAGCUGUGAAAUGGAUUCUACGGUAUAUUCAGAAGGCCGUGGAUAUUGGAUUACUGUUCAAGCAGGAUAAUACACUUGGUAAAGGUGUUAUUGGGUACGUUGAUUCUGACUAUGUCGGUGAUUUGGACAAACGAAGAUUAACCACCGGUUAUGUGUUUACAUUGGCUGGAGAACCAAUAAGUUGAAAGUCUACACUACAGUUUAUAGUUGCGUUGUCAACCACAGAAGCCGAAUACAUGGCUGUAACAGAGGCUGUAAAGGAAGAGAUUUGGUUACAAGGUAUGGUUAAAACAUUGGGAUUGUUUCAGGAGCAUAUUAACGUGUAUUGUGAUAGCCAAAGCGCUAUUCAUUUAGCAAAGAAUCAAGUAUAUCAUGUGCCAAAACCAUUUUUUUUUUAAAAAAGGGAUCAAUUUUGGAAACGAAAAUGAAAGAACGGGAGUUGCCACCAAUCCUUUUUGAUGAGGUGUGAUCGGGUCACCGUUUUUAAUAAAUGAUUUGAUUUAUUUAAACAACGAUUUUGGUCCACGAAAUUUAGAAAAACGGGUUCGGGAGUCGAUUACGUACGAGGAAGUAUUAGCACCCUCAUAAGGCCCACAAUUGGUAACGCCCAAAAUUGGUACCUAGUUGAUUAAUUAAAAUCUUAGUGUCGAAAAUUGAAAACUUGAAAGACUUUAAAAUACGAUCCUUCUUUUUGUAAAAACACUCGAAUGUUAAAGACCUUCUCGUCUCCAAGUAAUGAAACGUCACAUCCAGUAAGUUAGGACACGACAUCUCGAACUUUUGAGAAUGAGCUUGUCUUUUAUUUGAAAUUCGUGUAUUUUAACUUUUUUUUAAAAGAGUAUUCGAUUAUUUAGAGUAAAUGAGAAAAAUCGAAACCCAGCAAGUUAGGGCACGAUAUCUCGAACUUCCAAAUACCGGAUAUUGCCUUUGUUUGCAAAAACCUCAUCUCGAGGUGACAAGAUGUCAUAUCUAGCAAGUUAGGACACAACACCUCGUAUCUCCGAGGAUAAGUAUUUUAUUCAAAACUCGUGUUGUGAUUUAAGAAGAUUAUGUCGUUAUUUAGGUUAAACGAGAAAAAUCGAAACCCAGUAAGUUAGGGCACAAUUUUCUCAAAUUUUCUAAAUACGAAGCUUGUUUUAUUUUAGAAAACACAAUUGUAUGCGUCGAGUAAAAAACUAAUGUAAUCAUAAUUACAUGGUGAAAUAAGAAAACAAAUUGCAGCAUUAAUAUGCAUAAUAAAAUAAUAAUAACAAAGGUGAUGAUAUAAACACAAUAAUAGUAACGAAUAACAUAAACUUGCAGAUAUAUAGAGACAUAUAUGAAUAAAUGAAUAAACAUAAUGAGAUAAUGAUAAUGAGAACAAAACGAAAUAAAAAUGAAAUAAAUACGAUGAUAAAUGAAAUAAUAAAGCAAAUUAUAGUGUAAAUUUAAUUUUAAAUCGGGGAUAAGCAAAUGAACAUAUGAGUAAAGAAAUAGUGAGUGGAAUUGUUUUUUUUUUUCUUUCUUUCUUUUUUUAAAUAAUAAUAAUAAUAAGGAUAAUAAUAAAUAUUACGUAAAAUGUGUAACGAAACUUGUAAUUUAAGUAAAAAAUGAUAAAAUGAUAAUAAUGGUAUAAAUAUAAAUAAGUAUUAUAUGAAACAAAAUAAUGAUACAAAAUAAUAAUAAAAAAUUCAAAGUUUGAUAUUACAUAAAAGUAUAAACAAAUAAAUAAUAAAAUAAUAAAAUAGAAACAACAUAUUAUAUAAAAACGUAAAUAUAUAAAAAAAACUAUAAUAAUAGUAGUAGUUAUAAUAAAAGUAAUAAUAAUACUAAAUAUAACAAUAGUAGUAUUAGUAAUAAAAUAAUAGUGAUAAAAAUAAAAAUAAUGACAAUGACAAUAGAGAGUAAUGGCAAUAAUAAUAAUAAUAAUGAAAAUAAGAGUAAUAUUAGUAAUACAUUAAAUUACAAUAGUAAAGUAGUAAUAAUAAUAAUAAUAAUAAGUUAAAUUAAUUAGUAAUGAAGUAAUAAGUAAAUAAAUAUAAAAAGGAAGGUACAUGAUAUAAUAACUAUAUGAAAUUAAUUAGUUUAAUAAUAAGAUGAUAAUAAUAGGGAUAAUAAUAAAAAUGAAAGUAAUAACAACAAUAUGUUAAGUUAUAAUAAUAAAGUAAGAACAAUGGUGAUAAUAAUGUAUUGGGUAAUAAUAGUGGAAUAAUAACGAUAAAUAUAAUAAUAUUAAACCAAUUAAUUUAAUUAAAAUAUUGAAUAUAACGAAAAAAGGGCUAAAAUAAAUUUAAAAUAAAAAUUCGAGGCCAAUUUAAAAAUAAAUAAAGACGAAAAUGACCAAAUCGAACCCUCAAACAAUGAAGAGGGGCCAAAUCGGGCAAUAGACCCUUUCUCCAAAACGCUUAGGAUCAAAUAGGACCCGAUUGAAAUCCAAGCACAAAUUCGGGGCGAAUUUAAAAGGAAUCAAAACUUAAUUGCAAAGUCAUAAAAAACGGAAGGACUGUGCGCGUAAAUAACCCAAAAACCAAAAACACGCGGAUCCCUGGAGCGGGUCGGGUCAAGGCACGGGUCCUAGGUGAAACGACGUCGUUUUGGGGCUUUGGACGCCGGCCAAAACGGCGUCGUUUUGAGUAGCUAUUUAAAUCAGAUUUUUUUUAAAAUUUCAUUCUUUCUCUGCUUUUUUAAAAAACACCCCUCUUCUCCUUUCUUUCUCUGCAGCAGCCCUUAGUCCGGCGAAAGUCCCGAUCGUUGGCCGUCGCGUCGGCCACCGUUCGCCAGCGAACGAUGCCGCCGUAUGCAGCGGCAAAAAUGCCAUAAAUCCCCCCUUUUCAACGAGAUCGAAGGUAAAUCCCCCUUUUUUACUUUUUAAACACUUUAUAUAUAUACGUAUAUUUAUUGAAAAGGGGAUUCAAAAAAAAGAAGAAAAAGAAAAAAAAAAGAGAUGAAAAAAGAACCUUUCUCACACUGUUUUUGGUCUUUUUGGCAGUUUUCUUGUUUGUUUAUUUGAAUCUAUUUUGGAUUGUAUUCCAAAAAAAAAAGUCCUUUACAAUGGAUUUUUGAAGGCUUUUUAUAGCCAUCUUUACACGAUUUUUUUAUUGUUUGCUGUCUCUUCUUCUUUAAAUCCUUGCAAGUGCAAGUGGCGGUGGUAGGUGGCUGACAAGCGGUGGAGUAGGUGGCUGACAAGGCUAGGGCGGCGGCUGUAGGCAGUGCAAGUGGGGUUAGGGUUUGGUAUUUUUUGUUUGACUAUGGUUUGGAUAUUGGGCUGCUAGGGGUUUUUUUAAUUUUAGGUUUGUUUUGGGUUUUGGUUAUUAGGCUGUAAUGGGUUAGUUGGGUAUUAAUGGGCUCGGGCAAAUUUGGGUACCUACAUCAUGCAUGUACAAAGCAUAUCGAUGUACGAUUCCAUUUUGUGCGGGAAAUUAUUGAUGAAGGGAAAAUUCAUCUUCAGAAGAUUAAGACUGCAGAUAAUCCCGCAAAUAUGAUGACCAAUGUGGUAAUAGCAAUCAAGUUCGAACAUUGUUUGAACUUUUUCAAUAUCCUGCAAGUUUAACAGUUAAAGAAUGCACUAUCAAGUAUUGUUGUCAAAGGCAGAAAGAAUUGUCUAAGAUAAGAUUAUCUUAAUCAAAUUUUCAAGGUGGAGAUUAUUAGCAACUACCCAUAUCUUUGAAAAGUCAAAGAUAUGAGUGUCAGAAAAUUUGGCAUCGAAAAUCAAAACAGUUCAGGCACUGAAAUUUGGUUUGAAAUUUAGCAUGGGAUAAUUGCAAUUUUGGUCCCAAUUGUAUAGGGAUUUUUGCAAGUUGAUCCUUGAACCUCAACUAUAAAUAGGCCUAACCAUUUCUCAUUUUCUUCAUCCCAUAUUUGUUAUUCUCUACUUAAAGCAUUAUUCUCUCUCCCUAUUUGUAAAUUUCACUUGUAUUUUUGGAGUGAAAUAUAUUUGGUAGUGCCCGAGGAUAUAGGAAAAAUUUGCCGAACCUCGUUAAAAUUUUGGUGUUCUUUAUUAUUUAUUUUUGCAUAUUUUGUGAGUGUGAUUGUAGUGAUUUAUUGUGCUAUUAAAUUACGAUAGAGGGAUAUUCUGGCUAAGAAAGACCUGGUACUCAAGUGAUCCUCGUGAUUCUCGUGAUCCACCUCUCUUUCCUGGGAAUUGAACUUAGUGUGAUUUUUUAGUACAAUAAUUUUACUCUUUUACACGCUUCCGCGCAACAAGAACAUUUACUCAAACACUUGGUGUGCUAUUAUUUCUUGUGGUUUUUCUAUUCGAUUCAACUUCAUUUGUCUUUUCGAGUUGCUUCCAUUUAGUUUCAGUGCCUUACAGAAUUUUCUAUGUGAAUUCUCAAUUUUCAAGAAUUAGGCUAACUUAAGUGGAUUUGAAUUAAAGAAAUUGCCUAAAGCCACACGGUUAGCCAUACUAAAGUUCUAACUCUGUGACACUUGCCUGAAAAAAAUAGUAUACUCAAGAAGAAGCUCUUAAAGCUAAGGUAAAUAAAGGUGAGGUUUUUUUUUUUCAUUUAUUUGAUAAACUACACCCAAGGUCAUUAAACUAUUAAUAAGUUUAUAUUUCAGUCACUUAACUUUAAAAAGUUACAAAAUCGUAAUUGAAAUAUUCAAAUUUUUCAUUUAAGUUAUUUGGACUAUUAAAAUCAUUGUUGUAUGACCUUCUCCAUUCGUAAUGCUAGCCUCAAUCGGAAGCUCUUCUUCCCUUUCUCUUCUACAAUUCAAUUUUUUUCAGAAAACAUCUUUAAACGUCAUGAAUUUGUGAAUCAAAAUUUAAAAAAAAACUUACUUCUCCAUUCUUUAACACUGACAGUCAAAUCAACUCUUCUACUCGACAAUAGAUAUUGAUCCAUUGUACUAAUCAUCGAAUCAUUACUUGAAGAUCAUUAGUUGGAUUUCUAUUUAAAAAAACACUUAACAACACAGUACUGACUUAAAAAAACUUUCAAACAAUUUAGUAACUUAAAUGAAAGCUUUUGAGUAGUUCAGUAACUAUUUUGUAAUUUUGAAAAGUUUAGUGACUAAAAUAUAAAUUUACUAAUAAUUUAAUGACUUUAGAUAUAGUUUAUUUUUUGCAAAUGAAUGAAACAAAAAGAGGUUCGAUUGACACUAGAAAUGAAAAGAAAAUGUAUAUUUUUUUAUAAAAGAACACUAAGUGGCUUUUUUUGAUUGGCCACCAAUUUUUUUAAAGUUAAAAAUUGGAUUAAAAUUUAUAAGGGAUGAUACUUUUAAGUACUAAAUUAAGUUAAAAAAAACUUUAAGUAGCAAAAUUACGGGUGAAUUAGACAAAAAUUAUUGUGAGAAUGGAGGUUUAGAGAGAAAUAAUGCUUCAUAAUUUUAUUCAUUCCCAAUAAGCAUGGAUAUGUAAUCAUUACAUAAAUUAAAGAAACCGCAAAUGCCAAAAUCACUCAACACGUAUAGCCUCCUAAUUCAGCUGAUGCUGACGCUUUUAAGGUCAACAAGGAAAACAAUUUCACAAGUAUGGCGUAAUAGACUGUUGUUUUCGCUAUAUAACUUUAAAAUGUCUCACGCAUAUGUCUACUUUGAACGAGAAAGAGGAUUGCAAAUGCAAUUUUGCUCCUUCGCCACUUUUGGACUGUUCCUAAUGAUGCUAUUAUGAAUGGGAAAAUGGUUAAAGUUUAGAGAAGAAAAAUGAGUGCCUUGAUGGAGCUUGUAACUAUUGUCCCAUGUUGUUUCUUCUUCAUAGCUUUAAUGAAGUUCCUUUAUGAUUACCUAUGGAUACCUCUCCGUAUACAGCGUAUGCUGAAUUCACAGGGGAUCAAAGGACCUCCUUACAGAUUUAUCCAUGGCAACAACAGAGAAAUCGCCAAAAUGAGACAAGAAGCAUCAAGCAAACCCAUGGCCUUGACGCAUGAUAUAUUUCCCAAAGUGCAGCCACAUAUUUACUCCUGGAUCAACAAAUAUGGUAAGAUCCAUGCAUGUUUUUCACUAUGGUUUCAAUCUUCUAGUCCAAAGAAAAGAUGGACCCCUUUUUUGCUUUUUGUUUGAUUAGGGAGAAAUUAUCUUCAUUGGGACGGUGUUCGAGCUGAACUUGUGAUUUCAGAACCUGAACUAGUCAAAGAGAUACUAAAAAAUAGUGAAAAAACUUUCCCGAAAAGGAAGCCUACCAUUUACCUUAGCAAGCUACUAGGGAACGGGCUUGUGACAGUUGAGGGUGGAAAAUGGGCGAAGCAGAGGAAGCUGGCGAAUUACGUUUUUCAUGGGGAAAGCUUAAAGGUAAACCCCUCGAAACAUGUGAUUAGUUGUAAACUAAUGUUAAAAGAAAUUUAUAUUGUUUUGGCAGAACAUGACACCAGCUGUAAUUGCUAGCGUUGAAACACUGCUAGAGAAAUGGAAAGGCCAAGAAGGCAAAGAGAUUGAAGUGUUCAAUGAAUUUAGAUUAUUGACUUCAGAAGUGAUAUCAAGAACAGCUUUUGGUAGCAGUUACUUGGAAGGAGAGAAGGUUUUUGCCAUGUUGAACAAGCUGUCAAUAAUUAUGAGUCGAAAUCUUUAUAAUACUAGAAUUCCUUUAAUCAAGUAUGUUCCCUCUAAGCUUAAUUAAUCCAAGUUUUUCCUUAAUUGUGUUUUCAACGCCCAUGGAUUUAUUUUUCUCCUUAGAUAUGGCUAACAUUAGUUUUCUCUUCUAGCAAGUUAUAGAAACCUGCCGAUAUGCUAGAGUCUGAAGAACUUGCAAAAGAAAUACAAGAUUGUGUGAUGAAGAUUGUUAAGAAAAGAGAAGACAAAGUUGUGAAUGGAGAAGCUGAUAGCUUUGGCAAUGAUUUUCUAGGAUUACUUGUAAAUGCCUAUCAUGAUUCGGACAAAAAUAACAAGCUUUCAAUGGAAGAUCUGGUAGAUGAAUGCAAAACAUUCUAUUUUGCAGGACAAGAUACAGUUAAUGCCUUGCUUGCCUGGACAGUCUUGCUUUUAGCAAUCCAUGGGGAUUGGCAAGAUAAAGCAAGAAGGGAGGUGAUUGGCAUAUUUGGUAACCAAAAUCCACAACCGGAAGGCAUUGCAAAACUCAAAACUGUAAGUAGACUUUCUAACCAUUUAAGACCGCAAGCAUUGUGUUACAGUCAAUAUUUUGUAGUUUCAGCUCUUUCUACAUUGAUAUUCAUUGCUAAUAUUUACCACAAUUAAUUGCGAUAACAUCCAUUAUAUACAACACUGCCAUAAUUUAAAUCCCUGGUGUAUGCUAGCAUGAGUUUAGAACAUUAGAUUAUGUGAUGUUAAUCUUAUAUAUUCUUAUUCUGUAAACAGAUGACCAUGAUCAUUAAUGAAACUCUAAGAUUGUAUAGUUCAUCAAAUGGAAUGUUGAGAAGAGUUGGAAGAGAUGUUCAAAUGGAAAAGGUAGUUCUCCCUGCUAAUAUAGAUCUUCUAAUUGCAAAUGCUGUACUUCACCAUGACCCUCAACUGUGGGAGAAGAUGUGCAUCUUUUUAAACCAGACAGAUUCGCGGAAGGGAUUGCCAAAGUGUUAGGAUCGUCCCGAUUAAGCAACGAAUAAGUAAAAAUAGUAGAAGAAAUUGAGAAGAUGAACACACAAAUUUAACGUGGAAAAACCCCUCAAAAGAGGAUAAAAAACCACGGGCAAAGAUAAUUUUACUAUAAUGGCAAAAGAAUGAAGAGUACAAAAGAUGGAGAUAAAAACUAAACCCCGAAAACCCGAAAAACAAAGAACCCUCAAACGUAAACACAAAAUUCUCUGAAUGUGUUAUGAGUUCUAAUCUAAUGGGUGUCUCUUAAUUCUAAGAUUGUAAAGGAGCCUAUUUAUAGGCUAAAUUAGUAAGUCAAAUAAACUAUACUAAUAAAUGCUAAAUAUAUUAUACUAAUAAAUACUAAAUCUUCUAGAAAGAAAAUAUAUUUUUGUUUAACUUGACUUGCAAGCAAUCUCUUAGAAUUUGGGUCACACAAUUCUAACAAUCUCCACCUUGACACAAAUUCUUUCAAUGCCAUCUUUGCCAAAAACCCGCCACGGGCCUAUCUUGAACUAUGCAGGGAAUUAACUGAGUCGAAUCUAUGCUUAGAAGCUGGAAGACUUCUAGCCUUCGACUUGUGCACUGCCAAAUCAAAACUAACCCGGGUCUGAUUUUCACGAAUACAGUGCCCUAACUUUUCAAAACCUGCAUCCAAAAGAGAACCUCUCUUCAACGAAACGGUCAUACCUUUUUCCCUCCUCUGACCAAGUUGCCUCCGCUUCAAAUGAGUUGACUUUGACUCCAUAACGGGCGAGGGACGUCCGAUUUCACCGGUCACUGUAGAACCUUCCAGAAUAUAAAGACUGCCGGUUCUUUUACCUUUUAACAAAACGAGAGCUCCACGAGAUACUUUAAUGUCGCUCGACUCGAUGUUGAUUCUGCAUCCUUUCAAGUCUAAAAUACUCAAGGAGAUAAGAUUCUUUCGUAAAUCAGGUACAUACCUGACAUCUGAGAGUAUCCUAAUCGUCCCAUCGUGUAUCCUAAUUUUAACAGUACCAAUACCGAUUAUUUUACUAGAUGAAUCAUUUCCCAUGUGCACAACUCCACCUUCAACUGAACUGUAUGUGGAGAACCAUUCUCUAUUGGGACACAUGUGAAAAGAACAUCCUGAAUCUAGGAUCCACUCAGACGUAAGCUUGGAGUUAUCGCUUGUUGACACUAACAAGAAAUCAUCACCGCCUUCAUCGACCAAAUUAGCACCAGCUACAUCUUCCUCGUUACUCUCAGCAGCUCUUUUAUUUCGCAGUUUAUAACAAUCUGCUUUGACGUGACCUAACUUUUUGCAAUAGCGACACCUUUUGUCUCGUUUCUUUGAUGCUACCAAAACGGAAGCUUGUCUAUCUGCUUUGCUAUUCAAAUCAAAUUCAUUGUCGAGUUUGUCUCUACUCAACAAAUGACCCUUCACAUCUUCGAACAAGAGUUUGUCUCUGCCAUAAAUCAGGGUUUCCCUGAAAGACUUGUAUGAAGAGGGUAAAGAGCACAAUAAUAGCAUAGCUUGAUCUUCAUCGUCAAUAUAAACCUCAACGUUCUUUAAAUCAUUUAAAAGAGUAAUGAAUUGACUGAUGUGAUCUUUAAGAAGCUCACCUUCGUUCAUGCGAAACGUAAAUAGACGUUGUUUCAACACUAAACGGUUAGCCAGAGACUUAGUCGCAUAAAGAGUUUCUAACCUUUUCCACAAGGCGAAUGAGGUCUUCUCCAUCAAUACCUCCUGCAAUACUGUAUUCGCGAGGCACAACUGGAUUGCAGACAAGGCCUUUUCAUCAAGCUCUUUCCAUUCUGUUUGAUUUAGAUUCUCAGGCUUUUUCCCUAUAACAACCUUUUUCAAGCCAUUUUGAACUAGAAUUGCCAUCAUCCGAACUUGCCACAGAUUGAAAUUUGUCUCACCAUCGAACUUCUCAAUUUCAAACCUUGUUGCUCCGGGCUGAUCUAUGAAAGUUAAACUAGCUCUGAUACCACUUGUUAGGAUCGUUCCGAUUAAGCAACGAACAAGUAAAAAUAGUAGAAGAAAUUGAGAAGAUGAACACACAAAUUUAACGUGGAAAAACCCCUCAAAAGAGGAUAAAAAACCACGGGCAAAGAUAAUUUUACUAUAAUGGCAAAAGAAUGAAGAGUACAAAAGAUGGAGAUAAAAACUAAACCCCGAAAACUCGAAAAACAAAGAACCCUCAAACGUAAACACAAAAUUCUCUGAAUGUGUUAUGAGUUCUAAUCUAAUGGGUGUCUCUUAAUUCUAAGAUUGUAAAGGAGCCUAUUUAUAGGCUAAAUUAGUAAGUCAAAUAAACUAUACUAAUAAAUGCUAAAUAUAUUAUACUAAUAAAUACUAAAUCUUCUAGAAAGAAAAUAUAUUUUUGUUUAACUUGACUUGCAAGCAAUCUCUUAGAAUUUGGGUCACACAAUUCUAACACAAAGCUACCAAUUACAAUGCGGCUGCAUUUUUACCCUUUGGAUUGGGACCUCGAACUUGUGUUGGUAUGACCUUUGCAACCACAGAAACCAAGAUUGCUCUCUCCAUGAUCCUACAACGCUACGCUAUUACACUUUCCCCUGCCUAUGUCCACUCACCAAUACCUGUAAUUAGCCUUCAACCACAACAUGGAAUUCAAGUAAUACUCAAGUCGCUGCAUAGCGAUGCUUGAUGUUUCAUCGUUGUUGUUAUCAACAACCUGGAAAAGAUGGGUUUGAAUGCACUUAGCACGUAUUAUCCUUUAUUUUUAAGAAUUAAGGGUUAUGAAUGCUUUAGGCAUUAUAUAAAAUAAUCUACAUAACCAUUAGAAAUUUAGAGUUUAAUAAAAAUUUUCUAUUUAAUAAGUC
rnacentral:lncRNA from 1 species